CUUCAAAACCCACGGCCAUAAAACCCAAAAAACCUACCCACAACCCCCAUUGCUUGGAGGAAGCUAUUGCCGGAAAAAGCUUAUGGAAGUCAUGCCGAAGAAGCCCCAUGGAAGCUAUGGUCAGUAAAGCCGAAGCCACCUCCAAGAAACUCCCGUGAAAAUCAUCUCUCUAGGUUUUGGAUAUCUCAGACAAAAACAAGGCAAAUAGGGCAAAGCAAGUGAUAAAGCAUACAUCGGGAUAAAAAAUUUAUGCUCAAAUUCGAUAUGAACAGGUUGAAAAUUUAUUAUUAAUAUGAUUUGUUUGUACAUAAAUAAUUCAUCAUAAAUAACUCAAUUGUUUUACUUGUAAGAAUAAGCACAAAAGAAGGAGGAUCGAAGUGAGCCCAAUAGAAUUGAGAUGUUUGCCUUGACACACACAAGAAAAGAUGGGACGCCUGUUGAUGAUCAUUCUAAGGAGAUUAUGGAUCAAUUUUAGCAAUUACUAUCCCAACCUGGGGGGACAUCUUCUUCUACUUCUGCAUCAUCUAGAGCAUCUACAUCUGUAGCAUUUACAUAUGUAGAUGAGAUAUAUACUCAAGUCAUGGGUCCAGAGAGGCAUGGUCGUGUUCGAGGGUAUGAAUUUGGUCCUACUCCUACCUCAAUCUUUGGUUCUACUAGUAGAAGGCGAUCAGGAGUUAUUCUUUCAACACAAAUUGAAAACGCCCAAGAGAUGCUAAUAGCUGCAGAACAAAAGUUUACAACUGCAACUGAAGAACUCUCAAAUGUGAAA